rnacentral:lncRNA from 1 species
CUGGCCUGCACGCUAUAGGUCCCACUGCUCCACAUCUUCGAACUCCUCACGAUAUGCUCUUCAAGCUGGACUUCUCUGCAUCUAAAUUUUUACUCCUGUGGAUCAAAUUCAAGAUAUUUUUUUAACAAUCUCCACCUCAACUCGAUAUUUGGCAUUCACCUGACUUUGAGAACUUCUAGAUCUGCUCACCCCCAUGCUU